rnacentral:tRNA from 1 species
UCCCUGGUGGUCCAGUGGCUAAGACUCCAUGCUCCCAAUGCAGGGGGCCUGGGUUCAAUCCCCAGCUAGGGAU